rnacentral:rRNA from 1 species
UUUAAAUGAGAGUUUGAUCCUGGCUCAGGAUAAACGCUGGCGGCGUGCAUAACACAUGCAAGUCGAACGAUGAAGGUU